GCCUUUGAGCCCCUAGGACUUGUCCUCAUACAGUGUUACAUUAGCAGAUGUUAGCUGGUAACGAUUUGAGAGACCUGAACAUAAUAUCACUUUUAUAUAUGUAUGUAUAAAAAUAAAUAUCUUCAUAAAGUUACUUAAGGUCAUUUAUUAAUGUUUUGUAGGUGCCCCAGCAGAUGUUGAAUUCUGCGUUAAGCAUCUCAUCAGACUUCCAGUAACAGAUUUUUGGCUAUACAUACGGAUAUAUGUUCAGAUAUUGCCUUUAAAGCUAAUUUCACUGGGGAGGGUGGUGGUUAUAGCUUUCCCUAUUUCUUUUUUUUUCAGUAUUAAACAGAGGUAUAUGGGAAAUGAUCUGCUUUCAUGACAGCUGAGUAAGUGCCUGCUGUCUUUCUCCACUCAGCUCAGUGGUUUCUCUGUUCUAGUGCCAUAACUUAAGUCUUCUAAGUUACUGUUCUAUUUUUAACCCAUCAGUCCUCAGAAAAAAGCAGUUUGGCAAUGGUACUACACAAGAUGUGUUUGCACUUUGUGAGGAAUUUCCAAUGGACAAUCAAAUUAUUUAUGUAAUACUGGAACGAAGAUGUUGUGGGUUUUAUUUUGUUGGGUUAUUUUGUUGUUGUUGUUUGGCUUUUUUAAGAUAGAUGUAUAGCGCGUGCUUUAUCAAAAUAAUUUAAAUUCCUACCUCAAAGAAUACAAGUGCAUCCCCUGUUCUCGAGAGCUUAAUUUUAUUGACCAAAUAAGUAGGAAAUUGGGCAUUUAAAGUGGGGGCUGGGGGCCAAAAGAUCCAAGAGGCGCACCAUGUACAGUAAAAGAAUGAAUGUUUCUGUGAUUCUAUGUUGGCAGUUGAAUUUAUAACUAAACAUUCUCACUAACUACUAAAUCUCCCUAAUUAGGCAAUGUAAACAGUAUUCAUCAUAAUUUAAAAGAAUGAGAAUUGCAAGUGCCAUCAUUGCUUUGUAUGUGCGCUAAGAUUUACCUGUGCUUAUUUGCUAAGAUUUACCUUUGAAGGUGCAAUCAAAUUCCCUGUAAUACCACACCUGUUACCAGUCUUACCUCUAUUUGCUGCACUGUCUUGCUAGGUAUGCAUCCCUUGCUAGCAGGUCAGUUUGUGGGUACCGUUUUGUGGCUUCUUUUAGUUUGUCUUCAGCUUUGUUGCUGCAGUUAUUACCAAUUAUUACCCAGUUUUUAAACUUUAUUAGGACACACACACUACAAGAUUUCUGACCUUUAUGUGAGUGGUUAAAGCAUUUCUAUUCUCUGAACAGUUGGGUCUGCCUUGACUUCAGAAAGACUCUAUGAUCCUGAAAUCAUACAUUAAAAUAACAUUUUAAGAUAGGGAACUUUUGUCUGAGUUUUGGCCACUGUUCUUGUGGGGCUUAUACUGAGGCUUAGAAAUUAUUUCCAGUCUUUAUCUCUGGCUCAUUUCCUUUUCUGUGCAAGGAGUAACAGUGAUUGCCUUUUCCAGAGUUGUUUUUUCUUAAUUGCAUUGGAGGUUUAUAGAAAUUCAAAGAGCCUGUGCCUGUAUAGUGCGAUGCUCCUGGUUUUACAGCUGCCUGUUUCAUUGCUGCUCUCAUGUUUCUCGUUCUUAAGAUUGCCAGCCUACUAUGUCUGGUGAUACACUUUUAUUCGCUAUUUCUUUUUAUAAAUAAACUAUUUUUGCAUAUCACU